GACAGAGGUUGCAAACGUUGUUCGGAAUUACUGGGCAUAAAGCGCACGUAGGUGGUCCGCUAAGUCGGAUGUGAAAUUCCCCGGCUCAACCGGGGAACGGCAAUCGAUACUGGCGGGCUUGAGGUCCGGAGGGGUGAGUGGAACUCCUGGUGGAGCGGUGAAAUGCGUAGAUAUCAGGAGGAACACCAGUGGCGAAAAGCGGCUCACUGGCCGGAAUCUGACACUGAGGUGCGAAAGCUAGGGUAGCAAACGGG
rnacentral:rRNA from 1 species